GGUUUGGUAAAUGUAAAAAAGUACCACAAACAUACAUCACUAACAUCCCUCAACAGUUGAUUAUAUAUAAACUUUACACUAAUAUGAAAUAAUCCUGUAACACAAGCAACAAAUAGCUUAUACUGAUUAAGAACUAAGAAGCAUCAAAAGAAAAGUAAAAUGCAAAAUUUCAAUAUACGAAUAAAACACCAAUCAAAUUGACAUGCUCAAAAAAUAGAGGAAAAGAAAGGAAAAAGACAUAUUUCAAGCAGCAUCAAGAAGAAUAGAUAGUAUCUCAAGACCUUUACACAUCCAUCAAUUAAUCCGCAUUAAUACAUGCUCUAAUGCUUAUGUUCUCAUAAUAGUAAUCUUUAAGUUGUCUACAGUUAGCUUUUGUUUCACAAUGAAAACUUUUCCUGACAUAAGCAUUAUUUCAUGUUUCUUUUUUUCAAUUUCUUGCAAUUUUCUCCACGCUAUUACUAUUACCACCUCAAACACUCAACUACUCACAUAAG
rnacentral:misc_RNA from 1 species